GUGGGGGGACUGGUAUGGGAGGGGCGUCCGGCGCAGCGGGGGUGUUGCACGGGGGUCUGGCCAUGCUGUACCAAGUGGAAAAAUCCCUAAACAAGCCAGCUUGAAGCACAAAACCACCUCCGUCCUACAGGGUUAUAGUGGAGAGAAUGGAUUUUGCUGGGAAAGAGGACUUACACACGCACCUCAGUCUGUCACUGAUGGGGAAUCCGCUUCCCAUCAUCCUGAUCCAAGCCGAGGAGCCAGAUCCUACCAAGCACCAGCUCAUGGUCCCCAUGGGGCAGUUCAGGGGAGUUUGUGUCCUGCAGCCUCUGGAGGGAUAGGACAGAGAUGGAGGGAGAAAAGCUGCAGCAAUGGAGAUGCUACAGUGGGCAGCUGUGGAGGAGAUGGAGGGUGGGCAUGGGGGCUUGAUGCAGGGGCAUAUGGGAUGAGCCCCAGUUUGGCAGCCACAGCGCUUCCGUGGGAUCUUAGGUAUGAAAAGACCAUGAAGUCCAACUGCUCCCCCAGCACUACCAAGGCCACCACUAGCCCAUGUCCUCAGUUCCACACCCAGAUGUCUGUUAAAUCCCUCCAGGGUCAUUUUUGGGGUCUUUCCCAAUGUGAGGAGGGAAGACAGCAGUGAGACAUUCAUUGCCUGUGGCCAUGACGGUGUUUACAGAGGAAACAGCCCUUUGUGGAGAGCUUUAUUGCCAAUUAUCUCCCUGCCACGACCUGCCUGGGCACAGCCAAACCCUGCAGCCUCCAGUGGAAAAUGUGGUGUCGUGGCCCCACAGGCACAAGCUGCUGCUCGUCCCGGCACACUCAGCUCACCCUCCCCUUGCAGCAAAAAGUAAACUCUUUGCCCAAA